AGUUUGGAUCAUGGCUCAGAUUGAACGCUGGCGGCAUGCCUUACACAUGCAAGUCGAACGGCAGCACGGGAGCUUGCUCCUGGUGGCGAGUGGCGAACGGGUGAGUAAUACAUCGGAACGUACCCUGAAGUGGGGGAUAACGUAGCGAAGGUUACGCUAAUACCGCAUAUUCUGUGAGCAGGAAAGAGGGGGAUCGCAAGACCUCUUGCUUUAGGAGCGGCCGAUGUCGGAUUAGCUAGUUGGUGAGGUAAAGGCUCACCAAGGCGACGAUCCGUAGCGGGUCUGAGAGGAUGAUCCGCCACACUGGGACUGAGACACGGCCCAGACUCCUACGGGAGGCAGCAGUGGGGAAUUUUGGACAAUGGGCGCAAGCCUGAUCCAGCCAUGCCGCGUGAGUGAAGAAGGCCUUCGGGUUGUAAAGCUCUUUCGGUGGGGAAGAAAUUGCUUCGGUUAAUACCUGGAGUAGAUGACGGUACCCGCAUAAGAAGCACCGGCUAACUACGUG
rnacentral:rRNA from 1 species